GGAGAUUGCUGAUACCAGACUCGAAGAACAUGAGCACUAUGAUGUGUCUGCUUCCCCUUCACCUUCCAUCAUGAUUGUAAGUUUCCUGAGGCCUACUCAGCUAUGAUUCCAAUACAGCCUGCAGAACUAAUAAAGAGCCAGAGGAGUUCUGCUUUCCCAUGACUUACAUCACUCUGCAGACAAUUGGCAGCCAGGAGACGGGCAGCUGCCGCAAUCUUCAGAUUUCUCUCUAUUUAAAGUUCAAAGAGACGCUGGAUAACAAAAGAAAGAGGUAAGCGUGGCCUGACCUAGCCACCCACCAACAGGAAUAAUGGCUGAAAAAGCGGGGUCUACAUUUUCACACCUUCUGGUUCCUAUUCUUCUCCUGAUUGGCUGGAUUGUGGGCUGCAUCAUAAUGAUUUAUGUUGUCUUCUCUUAGAAAGGCAAGAAGAUAUCAGAUUGACAUCAUUUAGAAGAAUUAAGAAAACUAUGAACAUGACUGAUUAUUAAAUGUCUCAUGUUAAACAAUGCAAUGUUUGACAUCACUUUACAAACUUGGAUCAUAAACUGGCACUUUGGUAUGCAUAAGAAUUUCUUCAGGACAAUAAGAAAUUAUGAGUGAAUUUCUCUAUAUUCUGAGUGAGAAAAAUGUUUAGCUGUGAUGAAAAAUGCAUGUCAUUAAAAAAAGUUUGAUAAAUUUAAUCACAUUACAAAAAAUUAUCCCCCCUUCCCUCUGGAAAAAACUAUAGAGAAAGUGGGCUGAGGCUGUGCAAGGUGGCUCAUGCCUGUAAUCCCAGCACUUUGUGAGGAUCCUUUGAGCCCAGAAAUUGGAGACCUUCCUAGGCGACAGAGAGAGACCCCAUCUCUACAAAAAAAAAAAAAAAAAAAAAAAAAAAGAAAGAAAAUGGGCUAGAGAUAAAAACAGACAAUUCAGAGAACAUAUAAUGUAAAAGUACACUUACUUAAUCUCUUGUUCACAAAAAGAGAAAUGUAAUUAAAACUACACUGAGGAAUUGUUGCUCACUUAUCAGAUGGGAAAAAAAUAAAGAUGUUUGAC
rnacentral:lncRNA from 1 species